UACGUAGGGUGCAAGCGUUGUCCGGAAUUAUUGGGCGUAAAGAGCUCGUAGGCGGUCUGUCGCGUCGGCUGUGAAAACCCGGGGCUCAACCCCGGGCCUGCAGUCGAUACGGGCAGACUAGAGUGCGGUAGGGGAGACUGGAAUUCCUGGUGUAGCGGUGAAAUGCGCAGAUAUCAGGAGGAACACCGGUGGCGAAGGCGGGUCUCUGGGCCGUAACUGACGCUGAGGAGCGAAAGCGUGGGGAGCGGAACAGG
rnacentral:rRNA from 1 species